rnacentral:tRNA from 1 species
AUUUAAAUAGCUUAUAAAAAGAGUAUAACAUUGAAGCUGUUAAGGAGAUAUAUUAUCUUUAAAUA